CUCCGUCUCAUUCGUCAAAGCGGGGGAGGUCUGUGAACCGCGGUCUCUGGACACAGCGCUCUCUGUCCCCGGCGGGGGAUCUCCCCCAGCAGAUAACUCUGCGUCACGCCCCUGCCUCCUGGGGCUUCUCCAGCCGGCAUCCAGCAGCCUGGCUUUGUGUUCCGAGGGCCUAUGAAGGCAUGUGGAGACUCAGACUGGGAACGAAGUGACCUUCUUUUUGAAAAGCCUGUUCCAUCCCGGGGGACCUGGUUGGCUGAGACCUCCGGAGCCAACCCCCCAGGGUGCUGGUUUACGAGCAGCGCCUUUCGCAUUUCUGCGCAUCAGGACCACACCCGCCCUGCCUGUGGCCUGUGUCCUGCCACCAGUACCCAGCCACCUGCAGAGAGAGCACGCCUGCAGCGGGUGGUAGGGAGGGGGACAGGGUCCCAUCGCAUACGUCUAGGCUCAGAGAAGAGGAAGGAAAGACGGGAAUUUGAUUCUUACGUGGGAGCUACGAAAAUCCAUCUUUGAACGAAGACGACCAGACGAUGGGAUGCAGACGGGCAGGGGCUGCCCAACACACGGAGCUCCAAGGGCGGUCAGGACACACCAUGAAAACAGCCGCCGCUGAGGAGCCUCAGGACACGCGCAGAGCUGUGCUGGCAGCCUGACUUUCAUCCGAUCCUCAGUCAGCCCUGCAAGGUCGGUGCUCCUGCUCCCAUUUGACAGCUGAGGAAACUGAGGCACAGAGAGGUUAAGUCACUUACCUAAGGUCACACAGAAAGCGAUGGUCUAGGGAUUUGAGCCAAGGUCUGUCUUGACUCCUCCAUCAGUGCCCUUUGCUCUUUGUGGCACCGUCAGGAGCAGCAUAUUGGGUCUGCGGGCCAAGGGCCACUUACCAAAACGGCGGGAUUCUCUCUGCACUGCCACCACCCAGAGAGCCUGGCAGGGGCGGGAUGGUCCGCUCCACCCAUCCGUCUGGGCUUCCUCUCCAGGGCUCCUUCCCUCACCGUCUCUUUUUCCAGAAGGGCUCACAACCCCGUCAAGCCGCCAGCGUCACAGAGAGAGGCACCUCCGCCGGCCCGCCCUCCUCCGUCCCUUGCUCUUCCUGCCCUGGGGCCAGGCUGGUCCCUCAUCAUCCACCGGCACCCCCUCAUGGUGUCUCCCCUCAGACGAGGACAGCGCGGCACAGAAAGGCUCACCACAGGUUUGGACUGAAGUACCACCACGCACGUCAUAGUCUGCCCCGUCCUGGACCUGGGCUGAGCAGGAUGUGGACAGAUUCCCAAGGAAGCAGGCAGCUGGGCCGACAGCCAGCCAGGCCCGGUCCACCCCAAGCAGCCAAAUUCUUCCCGCCUGCCUCUGACCCACCCUGGGGCUCCGAGAAAGAAGCCGGGCUCCAAAGACAAUUUCUAAUAAAGCUAAACGAGAGGAAGCUCUGAAAUGAGAGCGGGGGCGGGGGGGCCCCGGGCCUUUGAACCUGCUGGGGUGGCACUGGCCGGUGCCCCAGUGGCCUCCACACUCAGCCUCCCUUAUGAAAAUAGGCCGGGUGCGUGGGCCUCGGGCAGCCUGGAGACGGAUGCAGGUCCGUUGGCACCCUCAGCCGGCAAUGUGCCGCAGGGCGCCCGGAGCCCAGCCCAGGUCGGGCGGGUGACACUGGCAAUGCUGACCUGCCCCCAGUGUUUGGCUGGGCCGCGGAAGGAGACUGGCAGGUCCUGGGCGGGGAGGCCUUGACCAGCGGAGAGGCAGAGCACAGAGGUCACGGGCCGGGGAUGGGGUCAGACUGCCCACGGCAGAUCCUGGCUCUGCCCUCCGAAGGGCCCCAGUUUGUAGGGGGAGACUGGGUCUAGCUUGCAGCCCCCUGGGGGCAGGCGGGACGGAUUACCGGGAGGCAGGAGGGCUUGCUUUCGGGGGGGUCUGAGCCCCCCACCCCAGCGAAGCCUCUUCCGGCCGGGGAGGGAGGGCACAGCCCACGCCCUCAGCCUCGCCCUCCUCCCGCCCUCCGUCCCCCAUCCCCCAUCCCGCAGGAGGCCCUGUCUGCUCGCCGCUGCUCUUCGGCCCUUUCCCCACACUUCCACCGAGGAUUUAUGGUUUUAAUAAUGCAGACUUUGUCCACCAGCCUCCCUUCUGUUUAGGCCCCUCUAAAGAUCCUUAAAAUUAAAACACUAAUCAGGAAUUUAUUUUCUCAUCAAUCCUGCCCUUCA
rnacentral:lncRNA from 1 species